CCCGAAUAAGAAGGUCCGGCUAACUUCGUGCCAGCAGCCGCGGUAAUACGAAGGGACCUAGCGUAGUUCGGAAUUACUGGGCUUAAAGAGUUCGUAGGUGGUUGAAAAAGUUGGUGGUGAAAUCCCAGAGCUUAACUCUGGAACUGCCAUCAAAACUUUUCAGCUAGAGUUUGAUAGAGGAAAGCAGAAUUUCUAGUGUAGAGGUGAAAUUCGUAGAUAUUAGAAAGAAUACCAAUUGCGAAGGCAGCUUUCUGGAUCAAUACUGACACUGAGGAACGAAAGCAUGGGUAGCGAAGAGGAUUAGAUACCCUCGUAGUCCAUGCCGUAAACGAUGUGUGUUAGACGUUGGAAAUUUAUUUUCAGUGUCGCAGCGAAAGCGAUAAACACACCGCCUGGGGAGUACGACCGCAAGGUUAAAACUCAAAUGAAUUGACGGGGACCCGCACAAGUAGUGGAGCAUGUGGUUUAAUUCGAAGAUACGCGCAGAACCUUACCAACACUUGACAUGUUCGUCGCGACUUUAAGAGAUUAAAGUUUUCGGUUCGGCCGGACGAAACACAGGUGCUGCAUGGCUGUCGUCAGCUCGUGUCGUGAGAUGUUGGGUUAAGUCCCGCAACGAGCGCAACCCUCACUUUUAGUUGCCAUCAUUUAGUUGGGCACUCUGAAAGAACUGCCAGUGAUAAGCUGGAGGAAGGUGGGGAUGACGUCAAGUCCUCAUGGCCCUUACGUGUUGGGCUACACACGUGCUACAAUGGUAUCUACAACAGGAAGCAAGACGGCGACGUUAAGCAAAUCCUUAAAAGAUACCUCAGUUCGGAUUGCACUCUGCAACUCGAGUGCAUGAAGCUGGAAUUACUAGUAAUCGUGGAUCAGCGUGC
rnacentral:rRNA from 1 species